GACAGCGUGGUGUAGCGGUUUGAGUGUUGGACUAUAACUCUGGAGACCAGAGUUCAAAUCCCGCCUUGACA